rnacentral:lncRNA from 13 species
AUAAAGGCCGGUGCAGAGAGGAGAUCAGUGUGCGACUGAUUAUCGUAAUCACCUGUGUCUCCUUCCUAGAUUGUGACAGUGACUCUGCAGCUUCCAAUGAUCUUACUUCAACUUCAUCUUGAAGCCCUAUCAAGCAGAAUGAAGAGUCCUCUGUCAAAUUUCUGUCCUUAUGAGUAGAACCUGAAUAAACUGAUUGCUUACUGCUCUGCUGUUGACUUUGGAUCACACUCUCUCAAGGAAACUACUGAAUAUGCUGAAACUACUUCUCAAAAUAGGUGAGGUCUAUGUUAUGAAGGCAUCAUGUCAUCAUGUGUUUUUAAAGUAAUUUGUAUGGUUACACCUGUUGUUCU